rnacentral:rRNA from 1 species
CUACGGGGGGCACCAGUGAGGAAUAUUGCACAAUGGGGGGAAAAGGGGGGCAGCAACGCCGCGUGGAGGAUGACGCAUUUCGGUGUUUAAACUCCUUUUAUAUGUCAAGAAAAUGACGGUAGCAUAUGAAUAAGCACCGGCUAACUCCGUGCCAGCAGCCGCGGUAAUACGGAGGGGUGCAAGCGUUACUCGGAAUCACUGGGCGUAAAGGACGCGUAGGCGGGUUGGAAAGUCAGGUGUGAAAUCCUACAGCUUAACUGUAGAACUGCACUUGAAACUUCUAAUCUAGAGUAUGGGAGGGGGAGAUGGAAUUAGUGGUGUAGGGGUAAAAUCCGUAGAUAUCACUAGGAAUACCUAAAGCGAAGGCGAUCUCCUGGAACAUUACUGACGCUAAGGCGUGAAAGCGUGGGGAGCAAACAGGAUUAGAUACCCGGGUAGUC